rnacentral:piRNA from 2 species
UUAUAUAUUUCGGGGUAGUGUGAGCUU